AGGCUUUGGAGCUUUGAAGGGAAAUUGUUGUUUCAUUCUCGUCUGUUCAGCUGCUCAGAGGUUCUGAAUCUGCAAAUUUCUUUCAUUAGCACUAGUUUCUGCUGUGUUGUUCCUGCUCCAUGUUGCUGGCAUCACAUUUAAAACGAUACUUUUUCACAAAACAACAGUUGUUUUAAGUUUCAUAUGUUUUCUUUGCACAGUUUUCUAUAAAAAAGAUGGUUAAAGUGAAAGCCAGGCGUAAAAUUGAUUGAGGGUCGAACAUACUGUAACACCGAGUUAGACACCCCCUCGAGAGAUGAACGUUGCCGACCGCUUGCUUCUCUAGUUAUACCAACUUCAGCAACAACCGCGUGAUAGCAAUACACAGCGGUCUGAGGAGCCAUAAACAAACCUCAACCAAAACGCCACUCUAUAGCCACAAGUAAUACUCAGAACAGCGCCUAACUUCAUCAACAAUGUUCUUCUUUGAGCUGCGUCACCCCGCAGCAGUCUGUAAUGGACUGGCCUGAGGUCUCACUACAAACAAGUGGCUGCUGGAAGAGUGUAGGUGAGUUGUGUUUAGUCUCUUUGCUGAAGAAAUCAGGCAAAGUUAAAAAGAUGUUUGGUGGCUAGUGCUGUGGCUGGGACCCAAAAUGUACUGCUGAUGAAGUUAGGUGGUUGAGGUUUGUUUAUGGCUCCUCAGACCACUGUGUAUUGUUAUCUGUGGUCAUUACUAAAAUUGGUAUAACUGGAGAAGCAAGCGGUCGACAACAUUCAUCUCUCGAGGGGGUGUCUAACUCGUUGUUACGGUGUGUUUGACCCUAAAUUAAUUUUAUGCAGGAAUAAGAAAUAUCCCUUUAAGUUUUAUAUGUUGUCUUUGCACAGUUUUCUAUAAAAGAGAAGGUUAAAAUAAUUUACAAACCAUCAAAAUCCUAUUCAUAUUUACAUUUUACAGAUUGCCCAAUUUGUUUUGGAAUUGGGGUUUUGUAAUAAGUCAUGUAGAGCCAUUAAUCAAACAGCUCAUCAUUAAAUAAUACAUGAGUAUUCAUAACUACAGUGUCUGGUAUUGUACAGUACAUCUGACAAAUACUUUGAGAAAAAAUCCAGUCAUAUUUGAGAUAAGCUUGUUAAAACCAAGUUCUCUUCCUGUGCCUCAACAAGGUCACUCUACUUUCCUCUGACUUUCUACAAGCUACCUGCUCUGCUGCCUGACUCUGUUUACAGAGCAAUAAGCUUAUACCAUAAAAGUUUAAUAAAGUGAGGUUUCACCUGCGCAGGAGCUGUGGUUAACUUUUCAAGAUGCAGCGGCUGUCUUCUUUUCAAAAACCUCAGUCAUCUGUAGGCAUAUGAUGCACUUUCUGACAUCAAAGUAUUUACAGUGUCGUAAGAGAUAUCCGUGAUGGAUACGACUCAUACGUCACUUACAUACAAGUUCAGCUGCGGCCAAGUUUUGUCUGUUCAAGGCUUUCUGCAGCACAGCUCACCUUUGGCGUAGGUAGUACGCAGCACUACUCAGAGGGGUGCUUUGGCUUUCCAUUGUGGUGUUGCAGAAUUAGUCAUGCGCGCACAAUGUGUUGGAUGGUCUAGUGAAUGGAUGCUGAAAGAAAUGAUAAAGAUGUGAUACAGGGGAGCGUACAGGAAGCAUCAUUGAAUUUCAUCCUAUCCAGCCAUCCAUCUACUCCUGGAAAUUGCAUGGCACUUUUGUUUUCCUCUCAAACUUGUUUUCUUGACAUUUGCCAUUUGGAGUUGGAUUUGUCAAACGUAUCAAAGAAAGCCGCUAUCUGUUGGUCAGAGCUGUCAGAUUGUGAUUCAUGUUGCAUUGUGGUUAAUAGAUCGUCAGGCCCUUGUUUCCCCCUCACUGCAAUUCAGAGUGAGUACCAACAAUUAGUGAGUCAUAGUGGUGGAAAAGUCACAAGCUAGGACAGACGGAGGCUUUAACCACAUGUUUGAGCUCUGGUUUUAUAUUGUUCAGCAGGUUUAACUCUAUGUCACGAUGAUAAGGAUCCACAAAGAAGACUGGGCUGCAUCCUCGCAUCUGACUCACUAUGUUAAUUAUCGCCACCUUUAUGUCUCGUUCUGUUGCUAUUUCCCAUCAUAUUUUCAAUUACUCAGACUCGACAUCAAUGUAGUUAAAUACACACUGAUGCAUCAUCAGAUUUACACAACAGGUUCUUAUGAGUAUCACCCUGAAACCAUUGAAUGAACCUGUUGCUUACACUGGGUGGCAGUAUGCAUUCAUUUUUACAUCACAGCUAAGAGACUAAUUAAUCUACAAUGAGGAGCGCUACAUUUCAACAUGUGUUUGAACAUCCCCUCCAGCGAUGUUCACACAGAUAAUCCCCAUGCUGCCAAUAUGUGAAAAAUCUGGAAGCCUGGAGUGCAUGACGCUCUCCUGCACAGAGAUAUGUGGAAUGUGAGACUUAAAGAAAGCUAGUUUGACACGUUCUUGCACAUAUCUUCUCAUUUAAUUUAGAGGCAUGCUAACAAGAGAGCUUACCUGAGUAGAUUGCAAUAAUAACAAAACAUUUUAUUUGUAUAGUGCUUUUUGCAGGAGACUUUACAGAAAGUUAAACAACAAAAAUACAAUGAGGCAAAGAUUAAGAGUAACAAGCUAAAAAUAAGAUUAAAUCGAAUAAAAGAAUACAAGUGGGAGGGGCAGAUGUGAGGGGUGGGAUAAUGGUGAGUUGGGGGGGUCAGGUAACAAAAGCGAGUAUGAAAAGGUGGGUUUUGAGGGCAGAUUUGAAGCUGAUGAGGUCCGGGCAUUCACAGAUGUGUUUAGGGAGGGAGUUCCAGAGGGUGGGAGCAGAGACGUUGAAGGCCCGGUCCGCCAUGGUUCGGUGCUAGGUUUUGGCGAGGGUGAGAGGAGGUUUGCGUCAGCUGGUUCGGGGUGUGGCGGACAAUGAGGUCAGACAGGUAGGGGGAGGCCAGGUGGUGGAGGGACUUACAGGUGAGGAGGAGAAUCUUGAAUUGAAUUGACGGAGGACAGGGGUGAUGUGGUCAUAUGGGCGGGUGCGGGUGAGAAGUCUGGCGGCGGAGUUCUGAAUGUGUUGAAGUUUGUUGAGGGAGGUGGAGGCGAGACCGUAGAAGAGGCUAUUGCAGUAGCCCAUUCUGGUGGUGAUGAAAGCGUGUAUUAAGGUUUCGGCAGCAGAUGGGGAGAGAAAGGGGCGGAGUCUUGCAAUGCUUUUCAGGUGAAGGAAGGCGGAGCGGGCAAGUUAGGAGAUAUGAUGGUCAAAAGUGAGGUCAGGGUUGAGAUGGACUCCAAGGUUGCGGACGAGUAAAGAGGGGGUGAUAUGGGAUUGGUCAACAUGGAUGGAGAUGUCUGAGGUGGAUUAUGCACUCUUGCUUGCAUAAAAACAAAUUAUUAUUAGCGAAUUAAUUGACUGACUCAAUUGACUAAGAUUUAAUAUACAACACAUUUUAAAUUUGGAUUCUGCAGCUUCACCCUCAUUAACAGAGUCCCUGUUGAAACAGCUGGUUUCACCUCACUUUGAGUAAUCAAUCCUUCUUUUAGAGCAUUUUGGUGCAUAUUGAUUUUAUAAUGCUGUAAUAGACCAUUAAUAAUAAUAAUACAUUUUAUAUUGAUUUAUUGGAGUGAUAUUUGAAGAUUCUGCUUACGUCAGAAGUGUAAGUAUAUUUAAGUGAAAACUUUUUUUUUUCUGUUGAACUGACUGUCUUGCACACACACACGUCUAGCCAGUCUAAAAGACAGCUGUCCCCAUGGAAACAGGUUUCCUGAGCUCCAUAUACAGAUUUCCUGAUAGAGAGGGAGGAGAUAGAGGGAGUGAGGGCAUUAGUCAAAAUUUGAGUUGCAUAUUAUAAUGCCUCACUGUUAAUAUGCAGUCAUUGUACUAAGUGCACAUACAGCACACACACAGAGAGUUUUCAGAUGCCAUUAGAUGCUGCAGUUUCACCUGCAUGUGUGUUGCCAAGCAAUUAUGACUCACCUGACAGCUGAACACAGCCAAGGUGUUUUCUGUUCUAUUAGUUUUCCUUGUGUAUGAACAUGAACUAAGAGGGAGGAUAAAUGAAAGCAGCCAUUUCACCAUAAGAAUGACUCAACCUUUUCUGUGGAUGCAACUACUCCCUGCCACAGGAAGGAAACAUGUACAAAUAAGGCAAGGUCAGCUGCAUACUAUUUGGCGGAAAGAAAUCUCUCCCACAGCUGUUGAUAAUGGAUGUGAGGGUCUCUAAAAUUUCAUUCACAGAAAGGGUUUUGUCCCGUGUACUAUCUUGAGGUGGGUCACGGGUUGCAUCACAGACAUGAUAACCCCAGUGCCACAUCCUUACAAAGGCCCUAUCAGUGAUGCAUGUGCCACCGGUGGGUCUCUGCGACACAGUCCUACAAUAGUUUUAUUUCUGGUGCACUCAUAAUGGCUCUGUGUAAACUAUGAAUAGAGAACUCGGAGGAUACUGGGCGUGCAUUAGACGCAAACAUCUUAGCAGAGGCUUUGAGGAACAAUGCUUCUCCCACGUUGGCUAAAUUGUUAGUUACACUGACCAGAAAUAGUCCCUUAAAUCCACCCCCAAGAAUUACACAUUGCUGCUGGUGGUGUUUAGCCAGUGCCUCAUUUUCAACGCAUGUAUUUAUGGAAACUGUGGUCUAAAACAGGGCUUUAUUUUUAUUCCAAGGCCUGCAAUAUUUGACUAAUAGGUUUAGAAUUAAAAAAGGGGAAAAAAAGUUUAUUUCAAUCCUUGUUUGAGACUGGUUUGCGUCUUAGUUGCUGCCAAGUAAGAGCUGACUGUUACACAAGUGCUGCUGAAAAAAAAAUCCCAUGUUCUGGUGCGGUUGUUUGAUGUCACUCCAGCAACAAGGACUUUUUUGUGUAGAAAAGGUUGAAAGUCAAAUGUGUCGUAAUGACCUUUUAUUAACAGAGCUUAGUUUAGCUAUGUUUUUCAUAACACUAUACAUACAUACAUACAGUCCCUCCUAUGACCAUGAAUCACAGCUCGCUUCUUUUACUCAUCUUCGGCUUAGGAUGUAGAGACCUUGAGCAGAAACACGCCUUUACUCAGGUAGAGCUGUUAUAACGUAGAUGAGUCCCCGCCGUGUUCAGCUACAGUCAAACCAAGUCAAGCCAUACCAGCAUAUAAUGGAAGUUAAAGCCCCAGACAGAAGUGAAAAGGACGUUGCCAUUAUCAGCAGAAAAUUAUUGCCAUUAUUGUCUUGUAAUUAGAAGAGGUUCACCUGAUGAUUAAGCCUCUAAACACUUUCAUUAUAAACAUGAACAUCAACUGUGACUCAAAGAAGAGGCGGAGCUCUUUAGUUAGUGAGUGGAGGUUCACAUGGCUCUGUUUUGAUGCUUUAUAAGACCUACUGUAUGGGGAUAUCCCAGUAUGACAUCCUUAUAUCAGGCAAGAAAUUACACCAGCAUUAUUGUAGACAAUGGGAUAUAAUAUGAUAUGAUGCGAUACAGAACUGGGAGAUAAUAAUGCCAAGUUACUCAUGCCUUUGUAUUUCGAUUCAAACAGUGCUAAUCUUAAAGGGAUAUUCCGGCAUAAAAUUAAGUUGGGGUCAAACACACCGCAACACCAAGUUAGACACCCCUGCUCUAAGGCGAGUCCAUCGACUGCAGCGGGGUGACGCAGCUCAAGGAAGAACAUUGAUGAUCAUUUCUUGAUCAUUUCUUUGAAGUAAUAAUCAUCAUAUUAAUCACUUUUCACUGCAGACGCGGUAGUUCUUUGGCCUUAGCGUCUCGGUCUGAUUGCAUUUCUAUAAAGAAAUGAUCAUAAAUGUUCUUUUUGAGCUGCGUCACCCCGCUGUAGUCGAUGGACUCGCCUGGAGAUCUAUACAAACAAGCGGCUGCUGGAAGAGAGUGGGUGAGUUGUGUUUAUUGUCUUUGCUUAAGAAAUCAGGCAAAGUUACAAGAUGUUUGGUGGCUAGUACUAUGGCUGGGACCC